rnacentral:rRNA from 1 species
CUGGCUCAGGAUGAACGCUAGCGACAGGCUUAACACAUGCAAGUCGAGGGGCAGCAUAAAAGUAGCAAUACUUGGUGGCGACCGGCGCACGGGUGAGUAACGCGUAUGCAACCUACCUAUCAGAGGGGAAUAACCCGGCGAAAGUCGGACUAAUACCGCAUAAAACAGGGACACCGCAUGGUGAUAUUUGUUAAAGAAAUUCGCUGAUAGAUGGGCAUGCGUUCCAUUAGGUAGUUGGUGAGGUAACGGCUCACCAAGCCGACGAUGGAUAGGGGAACUGAGAGGUUGGUCCCCCACACUGGUACUGAGACACGGACCAGACUCCUACGGGAGGCAGCAGUGAGGAAUAUUGGUCAAUGGACGAGAGUCUGAACCAGCCAAGUCGCGUGCAGGAAGAAUGUCCCUAUGGAUUGUAAACUGCUUUUGCAGGGGAAUAAAGUGCAUCACGUGUGAUGUUUUGUAUGUACUCUGCGAAUAAGGAUCGGCUAACUCCGUGCCAGCCGCCGC